rnacentral:rRNA from 1 species
UACAGAGGUGGCAAGCGUUGUUCGGAAUUACUGGGCGUAAAGGGCGCGUAGGCGGCUUGGUCAGUCCCGUGUGAAAUCCCUCGGCUCAACUGAGGAACUGCACGGGAAACUGCCUGGCUUGAGUUCUGGAGAGGGAAGCGGAAUUCCGGGUGUAGCGGUGAAAUGCGUAGAUAUCCGGAGGAACACCGGUGGCGAAGGCGGCUUCCUGGACCGACACUGACGCUGAGGCGCGAAAGCUAGGGGAGCAAACGGG